UGUUGCGGUUCAGUUCAUUUUCCCUGUUUUUUUCUAUUUUCAUCCUCAGUUUCUCCAUUCUUUCCUACGCUCCUUGCCUCCCUCGUUCCCCACGUUGCGUCAGCUUUUCAUUUCAAGCUCGAGUGCUGAGGCCCCGACUACAUCGGUAGCUGCGCAAAGAGGGAGACAAUGAAACAGCGAGAGAAAGAGAGAGACGGAAAGAAAGAGUUAUACUUGUAAAAUUUAAGGAAGGGUGUGAAAAUCUGGUGAGAAGAUGGCUGGGGAAUAGAGUUGGAAACAAAUACAGAAAAACAGGCAGAUUAAUGCAAAAUGAAAUAUUAGGAGAAGAAGUAGAGGAGAGCUGUAAUAAGCCAUGGUUUAAAUCACACUCAGGAGGGGGGCGCAGAGCUGACAGGUGGGAUCUCUUGGCUAUCUCCAAGGCACGCACACAGGCACAUGUAUACAGGCAGGAGGAGAGUCGGAGUCCCACUCUUCGGUUUGGUCACCUGUUGCUCAACACUGUCAUCAACAACCACUACUUAAGGACCGGUUCCAGCACUCAGAGUCCACCAGAUUGUCUGCCUCUUCAGAGUGUACUUCCCGAGUGGCCAAAGAGUGGAUCCCUGCUCAGUGCAACUUACCUGUUUCCAUCAAGCUGGUCUGUUCAACUUCACUGAAGAAGUCCAUGUCUCAAGUCACCUGCCUGCCUGCCCAACCUCCUCUAACUAAAACCAAUCAUUCCCAGACUUACAAAUUACUCCUCUCCCAGUGACUAACCUGCUCAGUCUCCUGGAU